UACCAAAAGUUAGCUUUUUGGGGGGCAGGUUUUUAAGUAACCUUUGCCAACUUGGGCUAUUUGGAAGAGUAAAAGACCACACUCCACAGUGGGCUAUACCACUUAGUAUAGUUCGCUACUAUUUUGUGGCCUACAUG
rnacentral:snoRNA from 10 species